UACGGAGGGGGCGAGCGUUAUUCGGAAUUACUGGGCGUAAAGGGCUGGUAGGCGGCCAACUAAGUCGGAUGUGAAAUCCCCAGGCUUAACCUGGGAACUGCAUCCGAUACUGGUCGGCUUGAAUCCGGGAGAGGGAUGCAGAAUUCCAGGUGUAGCGGUGAAAUGCGUAGAUAUCUGGAGGAAUACCGGUGGCGAAGGCGGCAUCCUGGACCGGCAUUGACGCUGAACAGCGAAAGCUAGGGGAGCAAACGGG
rnacentral:rRNA from 1 species